rnacentral:rRNA from 1 species
CCUACGUGAGGCAGCAGUGGGGAAUAUUGCGCAAUGGGCGAAAGCCUGACGCAGCGACGCCGCGUGAGGGAUGAAGGUCUUCGGAUCGUAAACCUCUGUCAGCAGGGAAGAACGGUCACUGUGCUAAUCAGCAGUGAAUUGACGGUACCUGCAAAGGAAGCACCGGCUAACUCCGUGCCAGCAGCCGCGGUAAUACGGAGGGUGCGAGCGUUAAUCGGAAUUACUGGGCGUAAAGCGCUCGUAGGCGGUAUGUCAAGUCAAGGGUGAAAUCCCCGCGCUCACCGUGGGAACUGCCUUUGAAACGGGCAAACUGGAGUGUGUGAGAGGAUAGUGGAAUUCCAGGUGUAGGAGUGAAAUCCGUAGAUAUCUGGAGGAACAUCAGUGGCGAAGGCGACUAUCUGGCACAUAACUGACGCUGAGGAGCGAAAGCGUGGGUAGCAAACAGGAUUAGAUACCCCAGUAGUC